GACAGAGGGUGCAAACGUUGCUCGGAAUCACUGGGCGUAAAGGGCGUGUAGGCGGGAAGGAAAGUCAGAUGUGAAAUCCCUGGGCUCAACCCAGGAACUGCAUUUGAAACUCCCUUUCUUGAGUACCGGAGAGGAAGGUGGAAUACCUGGUGUAGAGGUGAAAAUUCGUAGAUAUCAGGUGGAACACCAGUGGCGAAGGCGGCCUUCUGGACGGUAACUGACGCUGAGACGCGAAAGCGUGGGGAGCAAACAGG
rnacentral:rRNA from 1 species